UUCAGGAAGUCCCUAAAAUCAGUCACAUCCACUAGGCUGGUUCCUGACAGAGUAACCAGAGCUAAACAGUAAAGAAGACUCAGACCACUCCAGCUGCGUUGAAGAAGCAGAAACCAGCUGAGCUGCUCCAGCCUGAGGAGUCUUCAGUGUGAACCUGAGGAGAGAACAGACGAAUGGGGGACAAGAGACACAAAGAAAGAGGCCAAGACAGCACCGAGCUGCCUGGAAGCCGCCGAGUAGACCAACUGAGUCAAUUCGAAAGGACGCUCUCCCACCUAUUGAGUUCCUGAGAUGCUGUACACUACAGUAUACUCCAGAUUCUACCAGGAAAAGUUCUGUCAUACACCACAUGGUAUCCUCAUAAGACUGAGCCCACUUGUGCCAGAAGUUUGGUAAGGUAGAGCGGGUUGAGACCCAGAAACCGGCACACACCUGAGGCUUAGAUGGCUCCCAGCUCCCUGCCAGACUCCUGACUUGGAACACAUCCUUCUCACAUAAAAGGACACCCAGGCUCUAAACAGAGCUCUCCGUGCUAAUGAGGUAUCUAGAGGUCUGGAGGGCUUAGCCAAUGAGCUUCCCUUCCCAAACAUUCCUCGAUUGGAAAAAGUAUUUAAGACCCUGAGA